rnacentral:misc_RNA from 1 species
UCGUAACAAGGUUUCCGUAGGUGAACCUGCGGAAGGAUCAUUACCGAGUGCGGGCUGCCUCCGGGCGCCCAACCUCCCACCCGUGACUACCUAACACUGUUGCUUCGGCGGGGAGCCCCCCAGGGGGCGAGCCGCCGGGGACCACUGAACUUCAUGCCUGAGAGUGAUGCAGUCUGAGCCUGAAUACAAAUCAGUCAAAACUUUCAACAAUGGAUCUCUUGGUUCCGGCAUCGAUGAAGAACGCAGCGAACUGCGAUAAGUAAUGUGAAUUGCAGAAUUCAGUGAAUCAUCGAGUCUUUGAACGCACAUUGCGCCCCCUGGCAUUCCGGGGGGCAUGCCUGUCCGAGCGUCAUUGCUGCCCUCAAGCCCGGCUUGUGUGUUGGGUCGUCGUCCCCCCCCCCGGGGGACGGGCCCGAAAGGCAGCGGCGGCACCGUGUCCGGUCCUCGAGCGUAUGGGGCUUUGUCACCCGCUCGAUUAGGGCCGGCCGGGCGCCAGCCGGCGUCUCCAACCUUAUUUUUCUCAGGUUGACCUCGGAUCAGGUAGGGAUACCCGCUGAACUUAAGCAUAUCAAUAA